rnacentral:lncRNA from 10 species
GUGCCCACAUUUCACACCCAUCUGUUGCCUCCCGCUUGGUGCACAGUCCUUUGUGAAGCCCCAGGGAUAAAGCAGCGACCAAGAGGACCCGGCCUGCUCCCCGGGGCUGACGCCAGCUGCGGGGACCCCGUGGGGCGGACCACAGUUAGGCCAGUGGGCUCCGGCUGGGGUCCACGCGCAGCCUCGGGUGUGAAUGAAGGAGAAGAGAUCGUGUACCACACAUGAUGCUUACGGAGCAUAACACGGCAGGGGGCGGUAACGGGAAGAGCGUCCGCAGGCCCAGCCCUGGGAUACCAUUCUGGCAGGAGAAACAGGCAAUACAGACACAGACAAAUAAAUGAUAGAUGAGAAAAGAAAGUAAGGGCAUGGGCACGGAACUGGCAGAGAGGUCGUCAUGAAGGUGCAGGAGCUUAGGUGAACUACCCAGGUUGGGGGAACAGUCCCCAAGACCAUUAUCACCUCUGACACCAACGGCAAAUUCUGGCGGUUUCCAAAACCACCUUCAAGUUCCAUAAUUUGCUAGAAG